AGCGAACGCUGGCGGCAGGCCUAACACAUGCAAGUCGAACGAACCUUUCGGGGUUAGUGGCGGACGGGUGAGUAACACGUGGGAACGUGCCUUUAGGUUCGGAAUAACUCAGGGAAACUUGUGCUAAUACCGAAUGUGCCCUUCGGGGGUAAGAUUUAUCGCCUUUAGAGCGGCCCGCGUCUGAUUAGCUAGUUGGUUGAGGUAAUGGCUCACCAAGGCGACGAUCAGUAGCUGGUCUGAGAGGAUGAUCAGCCACAUUGGGACUGAGACACGGCCCAAACUCCUACGGGAAGCAGCAGUGGGGAAUCUUGCGCAAUGGGCGAAAGCCUGACGCAGCCAUGCCGCGUGAAUGAUGAAGGUCUUAGGAUUGUAAAAUUCUUUCACCGGGGACGAUAAUGACGGUACCCGGAGAAGAAGCCCCGGCUAACUUCGUG
rnacentral:rRNA from 1 species